UCCACCAUGGGCAUGUUAGUGAAUGUCAAGUCCACUGGAAUGUGGCAGCGCUUCGGCGUUCUUUUUGGGUCAGAGAGGGUGAAAACCCCGUUUACAUUCAUUAGCGUGUCUGUUGUGUGGGCGUGUUGAAGAGUCGGAUUGUUUGGGAAUGCAAUCCAAAACGGGUGGUAAAUUCCAUCCAAGACUAAAUAUUAGCAAGAGACCGAUAGCGAACAAGUACCGUGAGGGAAAGAUGAAAAGCACUCUGAAGAGAGAGUGAAAUAGUACGUGAAAUUGCUGAAAGGGAAACGCUUGAGACGAUUGUUGCUCUUGGGUGAAUCAGUUUCGGCUGCGCUCUAACAUCGUGGGCAGGAAGACAGNNUUUCUAGUGGGGGAGUCGCUUUUCUUAAAAAGGAAUUUUUUUUCGGGGUGGGNAAAANNAGGAAUUCGCGAGGGGGGGGGGAUAGACNCCCCCCGCUGGUAUAUANNUGGGAGGNGUGCGUCUUUGGUGGGAGGAGAGGGNUGGGUAUCCCCCAGAGGUUNUGUUGNAUUUUCNNNCNGGUGUUGAAGG
rnacentral:rRNA from 1 species